rnacentral:rRNA from 1 species
UGGGGAAUAUUGCGCAAUGGCCGCAAGGCUGACGCAGCGACGCCGCGUGUGGGAGGAAGCCCUUCGGGGUGUAAACCACUGUCAGGGGGGACGAACCCCGGACGGGCGAAUAGCCCGGACGGCUGACGGUACCUCCAGAGGAAGCACCGGCUAACUCCGUGCCAGCAGCCGCGGUAAGACGGAGGGUGCAAGCGUUGUUCGGAAUUACUGGGCGUAAAGCGCGGGCAGGUGGUCCUUUAAGUCCCUUGUGAAAUUCCGGGGCUCAACUCCGGAUGUGCGUGGGAUACUGGGGGACUGGAGACUGGUAGAGGCGAGCGGAAUUCCUGGUGUAGCGGUGGAAUGCGUAGAUAUCAGGAAGAACACCGGUGGCGAAGGCGGCUCGCUGGGCCAGUUCUGACACUCAUCCGCGAAAGCGUGGGGAGCAAACAGGAUUAGAUACCCCCGUAGUCC